UUGAACGCUGGCGGCAGGCCUAACACAUGCAAGUCGAGCGGAUGAAGGGAGCUUGCUCCUGGAUUCAGCGGCGGACGGGUGAGUAAUGCCUAGGAAUCUGCCUGGUAGUGGGGGAUAACGUCCGGAAACGGGCGCUAAUACCGCAUACGUCCUGAGGGAGAAAGUGGGGGAUCUUCGGACCUCACGCUAUCAGAUGAGCCUAGGUCGGAUUAGCUAGUUGGUGGGGUAAAGGCCUACCAAGGCGACGAUCCGUAACUGGUCUGAGAGGAUGAUCAGUCACACUGGAACUGAGACACGGUCCAGACUCCUACGGGAGGCAGCAGUGGGGAAUAUUGGACAAUGGGCGAAAGCCUGAUCCAGCCAUGCCGCGUGUGUGAAGAAGGUCUUCGGAUUGUAAAGCACUUUAAGUUGGGAGGAAGGGCAGUAAGUUAAGACCUUGCUGUUUGACGUUACCAACAGAAUAAGCACCGGCUAACUUCGUG
rnacentral:rRNA from 1 species